AGAAAACAUGGAAGCAAAACUGCAUGGUUCAAUAAUACGAAAAAAAUAACAAGUAGAGAUAAAUAAAAAUGUGGUAAAGUGGAAGCAGUAUGAAGCUGUGUAGCCUUUGAUUGCUCUGUAGAAGGCUUCCACCUUUUUCUUAAUCACUACACUUUGGAUUUCGUGUUUAUUAUAACACAAGCUGAAAGAGUGAACAAAAAACAGAAGACCAAGCACCUGAUUCUUCGCUUGUGAUACUUUUUAUUGGGGGUACUCCAGUUUUGACUAUUUAAGCAAAUUAAUUUUUAUAUACAUUGUAUUUAGAAUAUCAAUUUGAAUUCUUAUAGCAGAACUGAUAUAAAAGUCUUUACUGAUGCUCCUGUUUCAUUGUGAGAAGUGUUGUUUGAUAAAGGUUAAAUUAGAUUAAAUUGAGAGUUCCUUGGAAUAAGCCUGUGUAAAAAUAAUAAAACAUCAUUCAGUUAGCUUACCUAAGAAAACAGAAAAAUUGCUCAAACUGCUUGAUGUCACCCCAAAAUACAAUUCUCUUUUUUUUUGGCUGCAUAAGGACAAAUUGGCAGUAGUUAGUCCAAAUGGCAGUCAUAGUGGCAGUUUUAGGCCAGACAGAAUAAUGCUGUCUCAGAAGAGCCCCUGUGUGGGGUUUGGCAGUAGUGGGUUUGGCAGCACCAGACAGUUGUGGAUUGCAGGUUUACAGCUCAGAGGUGCACUUUGAGCUUUCCCCCUAAGCCUCAUAGUUUUAGUGGAAACUGUCAUGCCAAACCAGCAAGAGCUGGCAGGAAGGUAUAAGCCAGCAAACAGACAUGAAGUUUGCAGUGGUAUCCUGCUUGGGAAAGACAGACAAAUAGGAUUACCAUCGAUUUGGCAGCGCGUUUAGUAGCAGGGUAUCUUUCCUGCAUUUAUCAAUGUGAUAAUUUCCAUGCUUAUCUCUGUGUUCUUGUUCCAACACCAUCACGUCCUUUCUGCUUUUCCCAUGUGUGUGUAUUUCCCCCCAUUACUGUUUAAUAAAUGUGCAUUUGUCACUUUAGUGACAAAGGACAGCUUUAGUCUCCUUUCCACUGAGACUUGUCUAAAAGAAGUCAGGAGCGAGGGUGCUGACCUGAACUUUGCCAGGAUAGAGUGGAUAGAAAUAUUUUAUCUAUAAAACUUCAGGCUGUCAGCUUUCUGCCAGAGGGCAAAGAUGCCUACUCAGAGAUAAAGUGCCCCUACUCAACCUUUUAGAUCUUCUGCUUACCAAGCAGCAUAUUUGACCCUGUAAUGUCAUGGCUUCCCAUGGCCUCUGGGAGCCUUUCUGAAACAGAGUGUAUGCUGUAGGGAUGUAUAUACAGAGAAGCAGGUGCCAUUGUAGCACAGGUACCAGAGCUUGCCUACUCUGUAAAAGAUAUUUCAGUACAGUAUCUUAAUUUCAGCGGGUUCUGAGAAAAUGGGAAAACACGCUGCAGAGGCACCUCAGAUCUUCAGCAGAGUCAUGGAGAACACAUCUCUCACUCCAGCAAACGUGGAAGAUGCAAAAUGGUUUUCUAAUUAUCUUCUCUUGCUUUUUCAAAAUGCUUCAAGUUUCUCUAACUAUUCAUCAUUUUGUCUGAGAAAAUAAGUGACAAUAUAAAUACAGCACAGCAACAUUGCCUGUGAAUAUAUCACUUUUGUUUACAAGGAGAACAAACAGAAAUGUUGCUCAAAAUCCUCUGUAUGAUUUUAAAAUGGCUUGUGAGUAGGAUAAUAAAGUCACAGAUUUCAUAUACAUGUUCAUAUAUUCACAAAUCUUGUACAAGAGAAGUUGUACUUUAUUAGGUAUUGCUUUCCCGUUUCCUUUAGGAUUCAAUAUUACUGUAGUUCAUAGAAGCCAUAUCAACUUCAAUAAGAGGAGCUGUGAGAAAUGCCAGAGCUCAUAUUUCCUGCACUUUUUAAUCUUAAAGAGCAAAGAGGUCACCUUCCUCCCUUUCUGGAACAUUCCUGUUGAGCAGAUAUCCAGCUUUCUGUUGUCCCAGUGUCCUGCUCUACCCAGCUAAAGUCAACAAGGAAUGAGGAGUCUAACCAAUGAAGAGGACAUUAUAGCAACAGACCAGUGGGUACCAAGAGAUGUGUUGGUAAUGAUUUUGGAAGUACAACAGCAGGAAUUAAUAAAAGCUGUGUGCUGCGAUCAUCCGUUUUGGAAAAGUCUUUUGAGUAUAUUUUGAGGAUGGCAGGCACUGUGGCUAAUUGGGUAAGUUAUGGCCAUCCUGAGGUCUGUAUGUUAUUCGUGGGAAGGCAGUAGUGGAAAAGUUACUUUUCUUGUCCUCCUGCCAAAACACAAGGUUAGACAGGCAAAUUGCCUUCCCCUUGGGUGUAAGUGCUGGAAGGUGAGAUCAGGCUGUCAGAUUACUUUCUGUUGGAAGGUGAAACUAUAUUGGUAAAUUAGAUACAUUCCUGCUGCUGGAAGGAGUGCUUGAAUGGGAACACCAGCACCCCGAUCCUGUGUUUCUGUUGGGCAUGCUUGCUGCCAGCCAGCAGGUAGAUGGACAGUGGACAGUGUAAUGGGCUACAAGUAGAGCUCUGCCUUCCAGGCUAGAGCAGCAUAAUAAGAAAGGCCACGAAUCCAGCACUUCCACGCUGACAUUUGUUUUUUUAAUAAAGCACAGUGUAAUUAAAAAAGACUCUAAAUCAAAUCAGUUCUGUAACAGAGCUCACAGGAUGACUGCAGUUAAUGCCCUUAAAAUAACCCAGUAAUAAAUGAAAAAGUCUCCUACUGCCCAAAGACAACCAGUUAACUUCCUUUUAUGAAACUGUAGGUCUUUUUAUUAGGCUACAAAACUGUUUCAAACAAAUGAGAACCAAAUGUGUAAAAAAAUGCGUUUUUUUUUUUUUUUUUUUUUUUUUUUUUAAACUCUCAUACCAAAAUAGCGUAAGCCAUAGGGUUCUUGAAGUGAAGAUCUGCCUCAGUCUCUCCCACAGGCUGGCUUGUGCUUUUGAGAGUGAAUACAGGGCACAUCUAUUGAGCAAAGCGCUGCAUUGCUCUGUUAGAUAGAGGAUCUAUACAGUAACUGUACUGGAGAGAUUAAGAAGCCAUUCAGUAGAGAACUAUUCAGAGUACCGAACCCCGAGAUAUGUAAAGCAUUAUGCAACUCAGAUUGGCACGUUGUGUUCUUCAGCCCAAAAUAGUUGCUAUUGUGGAGACAGCCUAUUUUAAUAUUCACAUUCAAAAGCUUUCAACAUGUACUGAACCUAUGCCCUGUCUUGUAAUAGUAUUCAUUCUAGUGUUAAACAGACAUGAAGCCAAAAACAGCCCUGCUAUAAAUGAGUGCAUCUCCUAUUGAGAUCAAUAAGAAUUGCACUUGCUUACACCAGGGCUGAAUUUUUGCCUGUAAAUUACAAACAGUUCCACUGUGGAUGGAAAAAUUAUUAACCUUCUGUGAACAUAAACUCGGUGUGUCAUCUGUAGGGUUUUACUUUUCAAUGAUUACUUCCUAACUGGAGAACAAUUACAUUUCAAGUGGGAAAUGUUUUAGUAACAGAUCUCUGUGUACCACCUGAACAUGCUUAUGUCUUGGCCUGAGUGAAAACAAUUCACAUAUAAUGGUUGUAGUCCAGGCACUUAGGUCUUGAAUUUUGAUAAGCUCCUUGGACAGACUUCAGGGUAGGCUGUUUUGUUCAAGAGAGAGCAGUAAGUGAGACUUCAAUAAGACAUGUUAUUAUGUGGAACAAACUUUAAUAAGCAAAAUACAUGUCCUGCUCUAUUGUGUGUAUCAGAGUCUUGUCCGGUGAGUUGCUGAAGCUUCCCUUUGAACACUACCUCUUCUCGCUCAUGUUUCAGUCAAAGGUUAAAUUCCUGCUCAUGUAUUUACCUCAACUUGCAGAUCAUACAUGAUGCUGAGACCCAUUAAGAUACAUAAGUUGUCUUACCUCCUUGUGAAGCGAAGAAGAUUCAGGCUCCUGAAUGUUCUUGCUGCUUCAUCUGGGCCUCACUGAAUUUUGGAACUGGCAUAAGUUAAGUUAGCAAAUUUUAAAUUUCCCUCUACAUCACUGCCGCCUGUGAAAUUUUUGCCAUGUGUUUCACGGGGAGAGAGCUCUUGGAGGAUGAAUAGCCAUGGAAAUUUCAGAGGAAACAAUCUCAUUUGUUAAAGAUAUCAGGCAACAGUCACACAGAGAGUGAAUGGUCCAGAGAAACUUUUCUUUUGCUCCUCAUGCUACAAAUGUAAGCAAGCAUUGUGAAGUCUAUGGCAAAAGCAAGCUGACACACAGAAGAUGACAUACUAUCUUGAAAAUGAGAGUAAUUACAGAACACAAUACUGCAUUUGAGAAAGAAAAAAGAUCUUGAAGUUAAAUCGUGUAGAACAAUGCAUAUCUUUCAGAGGUUACGCACAGAUCCUUAAUUUGAAAUGUUUUCUUGAGUGCUUAAUUGUGCUCAAGUAAGCACCCUCACUACAGUUGCUUCUUAGAAUCAUAGAAGAAGUAUAGAUUAUAUAUUUCACCUUGUUUUCUAUGAAAUGAUGUAUGACAUUUGGUCAUAGCAUUGUGUUCUCAGGAUAAAUUAUAAAGUACUUAAAUGUAUUUCAUUACACAUUAUACUUCAUCUUCAGGCAAAAAUGUGUUUUGUCAAAAUAUUGAUUUGUAUUAUCAGGGCAUGUUGUAUAAAAUCCAAGACUGAAUUUCAUUUCAGGAAACUGUGCAAUUUGUCUAACCAUUCCAAGGAAAAAGGACAUCAAAUACAUAUGAGGAACUGUGCUGGUGAAAUGAAUUUUAAUCAUGUUUAUCAUCCUUCCAGAUACACUGUACUAUAGGAUUUGAUAAAUUUCACUCCCUAGACCUCAGUCUGAUCGCUGAUGAGAUAGGAAUGUUACAACGUCCCAGUGGCAUCGAGCUGGAUUCCUGUUCUUAAUAGGGUGCUGAUAAUAUAGACACUGGUAAUUUAUCUGUUACUUAAGAAAAAUUAAAUCAGAUUCCAUGAAAGAAGGCCAACCAAAUAAAUGAAUAUAGGUGAGAAUUAAUGUAAACGUAUGGAGAAUAUAAGAAGUGUCUAGAGUUUUUUAAGGACUAAUGUAAGUAUUUGAAGGAUUGUUUUUUCUUUCCAUCUUGUUAAAAUUGAGAGUCAUGAAAACACUGAGCUUUUAUUUUUUUAUCUUAUUUUAUUUUA